rnacentral:lncRNA from 1 species
AGUUAAGUCCAUAAAAGUAGAAUACUCAGAUUAGAGGAUGCAACUCCUGUGUGACGCUUGAGGUAAAAUAGCUAAAUGUUUGAUGCUUAUAUAAUUGAACACUUAGGAGCGUGGAAUGUGAAUAUAUGAUAGAAAUUGGGAGAUAUUGAUUGGAGAAGUUGUGGUGAUUAAUUGUGUUAUAACUUGCUUGCUUUGUGUUGAUGAGUUAAACAUGAGUUAAAUUUCAAGCUAAAGCAUGCUAAUGUGCAAUAAGAUGAUGUAAUUGAGUCCCUAUAGUUUGCAGGAGAAUGCUACUCCAAAAAGUAAAUUGAUGAAGUAAGGAUAGAGUGGAGUUGGUGCUAAAAAGCAGAGAAGAAAAGGGUAGGCGAGAAGAGUUGGAGUUUCUAAUUCCUUUCAUUUCGUUCCCCUUUUUGUUUAAAAACUGAAAUUCUCUUCUCAUUUCCCUCUUUGGCAGAUCGGAAAUCACCGCGGUUCCGCUGCCGCCAUCGCCGAACCCGACCCAGACUCCCAGAAUACAAAUCUCAGCCCAAAAGUAAAAGUAUCAAGAUUCAAAUGUUGGAUGAAAUUUGUGAUGUUGGAUGAAAUUUGUGAUGUUGGAU